GCUCCGGUGACCUGGUGGUUAGAGCGUCCGCUUCGGAUGCGGGAGAUCGCGGGUUCGAACCCCAACCGAAUCA